rnacentral:misc_RNA from 1 species
GGAUUCCAUGGCGCAUAGCCUCUUCACCUCAAUCACAGCUCUCGGACUUCUCAUCACCGGCUUCGAAGCAGCUCAAGGACUUGAUAUUGGUGUCAACUAUGGAAUGUUGGGUGACAACCUCCCCCCACCGGACAAAGUUGUAGCGCUCUACAAAUCCAUCAACAUAACCAAACUUCGCCUCUUCAAUCCUGACCACACUGCCCUCAAAGCCCUCCAAGGCUCUGGCAUCGACGUAGUCCUCGGAACGUUCAACCAGGACCUCCACCAACUCGCCACCGACCCCUCCUACGCCGCCAGUUGGGUCGCCACCAACAUCGCCCCCUAUGCCAGUACAAUCAACUUCCGAUACAUAACCGCCGGCAACGAGGUAAUUCCAGGAGAUCUAGCGGCCAGUGUCCUCCCAGCCAUGCAGAACCUCGACAAAGCUCUCAAGGCCGUCAACAUUACCGCCCCUGUCACCACCGCCGUUGCUACUGCAGUGCUCGGGACUUCGUAUCCUCCCUCUCAGGGCGCUUUCUCCCAGGAAGCUACAUCAGUCAUGGCGCCAAUUGUUAAUUUCUUGUCGGCCAAGAAAAUACCCCUCCUUGUCAAUGUGUACCCUUACUUUGCCUACUCAGGUGAUCCGAACAGCGUCCGGCUCGAUUAUGCUCUCUUCGAGGCCGAGAAAGUCGUGGUCCAGGACGGCUCGCUGGGAUACACGAACCUCUUUGACGCCAUUGUCGACGGAGUUUACUCAGCUUUAGAGAAAGUUGGGGGAGACAGUGUGGAGGUGGUUGUUUCUGAGACUGGCUGGCCGUCUGGUGGUGGUGCGACGGGAGCAACGGUGGAGAAUGCUCGGAAGUAUAACAACAAUGUGGUUUUACAUGUGGGGACCGGCAGUGGGACACCUAAGAGGCCGGGAAAAGUGACAGAGACUUACUUGUUUGCAAUGUUCAAUGAAGAUUUGAAGCCUGCUGGGACUGAGCAGAAUUUUGGGCUCUAUCAUCCUGAUAUGAGUCAAGUUUAUCCCGUUGAUUUUAAUUAUUAGGUGAUGAUAUAUGUGGUUUUAUUUUAUAAUUAAUGAGUAGAUUUUAG